rnacentral:lncRNA from 13 species
UCGCCGCAAGCGGGGAGUAACUGGGGCGGUGCGGGGUCUGACGCUCGGUUUUGCUGCGGAUUCUCCGCUCCCGACUCUCAGGCAGAGCGCGGGUGGGCGUGGCAGGGGAAGGGCAGCAGAUCCACUCCGCGAGCGCUAUGCAAAUGUAAUACAAAUAAGCGCACGGGGGAUGGAGCGGCGGUUUUGAGUCCAGACGCCGCAACGCCGCGCGCUCUCUCACUCGCUCGCCCCCGCCUGCGUCCGCUCUGCGCUCUCGCGCUUGCUCUCUUUCUCGCAAGGUCGCUCAACCCCGCUCCGCCGCGCACUGUCCCGUCCAGGACGCGCCUCGCAGGCUCCCCGCGCCACCCGGUUGGCAGCCGGGCGCUGAGCCCGCGCUGUGCGCCAACGGCCGGGGCGCCCCGCGGAGCGCCGGUGCCCCGGCCCCCGGGCCGCCUUCGCCGCGCAGAAGACUAUGAAGAUAUGGGGUGUCUGAGGAAGGAGAAGGGGGCCCUCACACGUGGAUCUUUGGCUCCAAACAGCUGCAUAUGGAAGACUCUGAACACCUGGUUGCAGUGCUGGUCUGAGCUGGUGAGACAGACAGACGUGCUAAGACUGUAUGGAGCUCAUCUUGAAAACAUUAAUUUUUCCAAACACUUCUGUGCAGCUCAUGUGCUUUUCC